GGCAACCGGCUCGGAAUCGCCCAGCUGUCCCCUCAGACGGCAGCCCGUGGCCGUCCCCUUCGCCGUGGGAUGCGGGGAUUUGGGGCGGCUGAAGGAGUCGGGGCCCCCACCGCUGUAGCGCUGCUGCCCCCAUUAGGGCCUGGAAACCCGAGCCUCCAGUGCUGCCCAUGGUGCCCCCCAAGGCUGAGGUUUCAGUCUGCAGUCUGCUGAUCCGAAAGAAAGAAGGCGGCUUUUGGAGGACUUAAUCAUGGCGAGUCGAGCUGCUGCUGAACCUCCCCUUCCAACAUCCAGCAGGCCCCGAUGAUGGCACAGGCAUGAAAGAGCCCAGAGCUCGUCGCUGGGGAGAGGCUGCGUAUGGCGUUGUGAAGGGAGAGAUGGAGGAGUGGUUUGAGCAGCGCUGUGCAGGAAGGAACGGCUGGCAGGAGUCGGGCAGCGGUACUGCAGCUCCUCUGGCAGCUUUGCAGCACAGUUGGGAAGCAGAAGAUGUGAAAGAAGAACUGCGUUGCUGGGACGUUCCCCUGUUCUUCCCCCAGCUGUCCCCUUGCCUCAGCCUGGAUUCCCCUUGCGUUCCUGUAGGAUUCCCUUCCAUCCCCCUGGCUGCCCCUUGCUUUCCACAAGGCUGCCCUUUCCUUUCUCAUGACUGUCCACCCAUCAUUCCCUCAGAGCCCCAAUAUCCCCCCCAGUGUUUCCCAGCAAGACCCCUAGAGACACCCUAUAGCCGCCCACAGAGCCCCAUAGCCCCUCAAGGACCCCCACAGACCCAGUACACCUCCCCCGUAGCUGGCCCAUACCCACAUGGAGCCCCACAGUCUUCAGCAACACCCCAUGUCCCCCACUGGGCUUCCCCGGAAUCCUCCUAUUUCCUCCCUCAGACCUCCUUUACACCUCCAAGAUCCCCCCUGGGAACUCACUGAUCCCCACGGUCCCUGACAGGACCCCAUCACCAUCCCAGGAACCCCAUAGCCCAUCUUUGGCCUCUUUUCCCCCCGACCUGCCUCCAGAUCCUGUAGAACCUCACAGUGCUGUGACAUGGAUGGCUUCUGCAGGUGAGGAAUGAGGAGCUGGAGAAGGUGUAGGGCACAGAUGUGGGUGCAAGUGAAGUGGGCGGCACUGGGGAUACUGGGGAACACGGAUCAGAACAUGGGUGGAUUUGGGGAGGAUAAGGGGAUAUGGACCACAGCCUGCAGGAGCAGAGUGCUUCACAGGAGAAGGCGAGGUGUGAGGUACAGGUGGGACUUGUGGGUGCAGAGACAUGACGUGGCAUGGGUACGUGGGGGGCUUGGGGGCUCGUGGGGAGCGGUUUGGGGUCAGAAUGGGGGAUGUGGAGUGGUGUUGGAGUGCAUUCAUUGAUUUCUUCCUGAGAGGGGAUUGGGGUUCAUUUCGAUCUAAUGUUGAAGCCCUGAUCAGUAACCCCACAUGAGCCCAGAACCCCAGAAAAGUCCGCGUGACCACAAGGCUCCACAUGUCCCAUAACCCUGUGAGCACUGUAACCCCAUAUGAGGCUGUGGGCAGGGAUAGGUCUGUUCCUGCAUUGUUCAGGGGGGUACUAUAAGGUGGCUCUGGGGCCGCUGUAUUUCAGCAGCCUGAAUAUUCCCCUGAUGCUCAUCUUGCCCUCAUCUUUGGGGGCAAAAUGGAGGUCAAGGGGUUUGUUGGGGGCUAAGGAAGAGGUUCCAUGAGUGUAUCCCAUAGCUGCCCAGAGCAUCCCCAGAGCCAUCCUAGAGGAGCAGUUCCAGAGCAGCCCCAUCAUUGCCCAUAGCUCGUAGCCAGCAGCAGUUCCACCAGCAGCAGUGUGUUGGGUAAAGACAGCUCCUAAGUGUGGCUCUGCUGCAAGGCUGCACCAAAGUGCUCCUGAAGCCCUCCCAUAGGCGUCUUUUAACUGUCCCACAACCCUGUGAGGCUUCCCCACAUCCCAGCACAUCCACGAACGUGCCUGUGGGGUGUGCGAGAAACGCUCACAUCCCUGAUGUUCCACCAGGCACAGCUCUCAGUGCAGCAGCAAAGCUCAUUCCUGAUUGCUGUGGCAUUACUGCACUCUCUUCUGUGAGCUCCUUCUGCUCCUGUAGCUCUCCUCCCAUGGCACCCACUGCUCUCCCCCUUGGCUGGGCACUGCAGGCUCACAGUCUCCACCACGCAUCCGCUGUGCCGUUUUUCCAGAGGAGGUCUAUGGCCAACAUGUUCCUUUCGGGCUGAUUGUGUGCUUUUCUAUGCAGACAGGCAGGCAGGAUUUCGUGCAGCUGUUGCACGUGCUGGGUCUCAUGCUCCGUCCUGCAGCUGUGCCUUAUCUCGUGUGCACUCUCCACCUCCCCCUGGUCAGAACGUCCUGGCCCUGCUGUGCUCUGCUCAGCAUCUGUCUGCUGAACGACGACACAGCUGUCACACUGAGCCUGCCUUGUGCUAUCCCUGCAGAUGUUGGAUGAUUUCUUCUGCCACUCUCCCACCCGUAAGCGCCCGGGUGAUUUCCAGCAGCACACAGCUGGCACACAGAGCCAUGCUGACCACGGCAGGGAGCAGCUCCCUGUUGCAGUCCCGUAGCGGUGGGUGGCCGUGCCAAAGGGGGAUCCCACCGCUGCUGCUCUCCAUCCUUCUGCGCUCGUUCUGCACCACCGUGCAUUCCAUCCUUCCUCCUCGUGCUGCGCUGCCCAUUUCCUGGGGUCGUUGCAGCAGCUGCUGCAAGUGCUGAUGUUGGAGCAGUUUCUUCCCCACCGCGAGAUCCCUUCCAAGAAACACUGCCCCUACUGCUGCAACGGCCCCAGUCUGGGACGCCUUUUUGUAAGGAGUUGUGUUUUUUGUUCUGCAGCUGACUUGGAUUUCUUCUCCCACUGUCCCGUGAAGGAGUUGAUUUGCUUCAGUCCAUCCCUGUUCCAUUCCUGGCUCGGGUAUCCCUCGUGGCCAUGCAGCACCGCAGCAGCAAAGCUCCAAUCCCUUCCCCGGUCUCAGUGGGUUCAGUUUGUUCUGUUCUCAUCCACUUACAGAAACAGAAGCUACCAAGCCACCAAACCCUGGGACAGGUAUUUCCCUACAGAAGCAUUCAUGUCCUUCUGCUGGCCCCUUUGGCCAGUUCCCAGCUCUCCAAACUGAGGCGUACGGCUGCAGCCCACCCCAUGGCUUCUCUGGGGCAGCUGUGGGGCAGCCCCACCCUGAGGAGGAGAUGCCUUUUCCUAGCAUGCAGCUGGUUCUAUGGCCACAUGGGGUGAGGACGUGGGGUCGUGGGUCACAUAGGGGUCCUGCAGGGUCACAGAGUUACGGGGUGAUGUGGGGCUAUGGGGUCAGAUGGGGUUCUGAAUCACAGUGAUAGGGUCAGAUUGGAUGGUAGGGACAGAUGGGGUGACAUGGAGUUAUGGAUCACAUGGGUUGUAUGGUCGGGGUGAGGUGGGGGCAAGGAUCCCAGAUUUAUGGGCCACAUGGCGUCAGUUCGCAGCAUGAUGGGGGCAGGAGGAGCCAGGGAGUCACAGGGUCAUGUGGGGGUAUGGUUCCCAUCAGGGCUGUGGGUCACGUGCAGCCAUGGGGUCACGCACAUACAGGGCGAUGAGGUCAUCUUGGGUUAUGGCUCAUGUGGGGUAACGGCUCAGGGCCCCACCUUUGGGCCACAGGGACGCCCAGUCCCCUCUCAGGAUGAAAUGAAACCACUGCAAACUCUGUCCACUCCCCCCCCCUUUUUACCUCAAACCGCUCCCCACAUCCUCCCAUACUCUCUACGUCCCCAUACUAGCCCAUGCCCCUGUGUCCCACCUGCAGCCCACGUCUUGUUUUCUCCUGAACAGCAUUCUGCUCCUGCUGCCUGUGUUCCCACAUCCCUUAAUGUCCCUAUAUCCUCCAAACACACCCCCAGAGAGCCCUAUAGCUCCUCAAGGACCUUCUCAGACUCAGCACAUUUCCCCCACAGAGAAGCUGGGCCAUCACAGGCUUCUGCAGUCCCCAGCAGCAGCACACAUCCCCCUCUGAGCUCACACUGAACCCCCUUGUUUUCUUCCUCAGACCUCCCUUACGCCCUCAGUCCUCUCCUGGGUCCUCAGAGUUCCACAGUCCGUGACAGGACCCCCAUCACCAUCCCAGGAUCCCCAUAUCCCACCGACGAGGAACCCCACAGCAAAACACAUCUCAGGAUGGGGCUCCAGUGGUGCACCAAUACAUUCAUUAAAGAGAGGAGAAUGAAUGAGCGUAAAGGGGGGCCUUUCCUCCUGAUGUUGCCCACCGCCUGCGUGUUGGCUGUGCCAUGCCAGCAGCAUUUUGUCCUCGAGCUGUGAGUGCAGGUAUGCGUGCAUACGGGGGUGUGCAGAGAUGGAGCUGAACAUCAGAGCGUGCAUUGCGCUUGGCUGUGUGCACAGUGCUUGCAGGUGCAAGUUUUGCAUCUGUGUGCAUGCACAUGGCUGUGUGCAAGGCUGGAGCAGUGGUCGAGUCUUCGUGCUCGUGGGUGUGCAGAGGGAUGGGGUGCACACAUGUGAACACAGCGCCAUGGGAGGCACUGCAAAGGAAACAGCUCCAUCCCAGCCACAACAGUGACAGGCAGGCAGGCACUGGGGAGGGCUGCACGGCAGAGGGACGCCCUCUGAGUGCCACAACCUGGAGCGCUGUCUGCAAGCAGAACAGUGCCUGGAUGGCAGCCUGCUGGUCCUAAGCUGCAGAGAUGCUGCUCUGGACCAACAGCCUGUCAUUUUUUCAGAAAACGCUGUCCUUUUGCUGAACUUUGCUCAUUACAUACUUGUCAUUAAGGAAAA